UGUGUGAUGCAUACGACGGUGUC
rnacentral:piRNA from 1 species